ensembl:lncRNA
AAUGCUUUGCCCUACAUCUAUUUUUUUUUUUCCCAGAAUUUAUCUCCUGAAUCCUUAAAAUAGUGUUUAAAACCACAAGGCAUUGUGGAUUGGCAUUGGAUGGCAUUGGAUUUGGAAGAGAAUCUAUCGUCUGUUACUGAAUGGAAACUUUGGAGAUGCAUAAAAUGGCACUUUCUCUUAGCUAAAACAUAUUUGAGCUCUGGGACUCUAAUUCAGAAAGGUGUUGGUGAGACCCAAAUCGUACGGUGGAUCGUAGCGUGUUUUUACCAUCCCUCACUGGAGCGGAGCAAUCGCAACGGGACGCACUGCUGAUCGAUACGUUCAGAGGAUCUGGUGACCCUCGCUGUGGCCAUGCCCAAGCCACCCGCUUUGCAGACAGAGGUGAUCUUGGCCUUCAGGAAGCUGUAUGUGAGCUCACCUUUCUCUUGUUAUGCUUCAGAGCUUUCCAGAAGCCCGGGCCUGGAAUCAGGCUUGACUCUUUUAAUAGACAAGAUCCAGACACAAAAUAACUUUUGUCUCUGAAUCUGAAGGAGAGUUAUGCUGUGGUUAUACAGCUGCUGCUGAUGUAUGCAGGAACGGUGAAUUUGGUGGUGGUAAUUUCAAAUUCCUACAGGCUCUGUUCCUGCUAUGAGCAAACAGCCUGCGUUGUUGGGAUAAAGUAAAUCAGGACUUUCUGGAUCACAACUUUGGCUUAAAAAUUACAUUCAUUUCCUUGAUAGAGUUUCUCAGAAAAAACACCUUAACUGACUGUCACUUCUUAUGCCGCUUUGCCAUCUGCAGUGCCGGGAUGGUACCUGAGCAAGGAUUUCAGUUAAAGGUUUUCUUGCUGUAACUCUGUUCUUAGCUAUCAGCAGGACUAAGAUGGAAUAGGAGUUGGAAAGCCUAUAGUCAUCAUGGGAAUGGAGACACUGCUUUGUUGGAAAAAAGACCACGUUACAUAGUUUAUCUGGACAAUCACAGCCACUUGCAGCAGCAUUGCCUGUGCUGCAUUUGCUCUUCAGUGAACUGGAGCUGCUUGUCAUCCAGGAGGUCAUCCUGUAGCUCACAGAACUCAAGAACCCAGUGAGGAGACAGCAACUGACUUGAGAAGAGCUACAUUGGAUAUUAAAUGUUCCUAAAAUCACAGAAUGGCUGAAGUUGGAAGGUGAUCUCUUGAGAUUAUCUGGUCCAACUUGCACUUAAGGGAUACCCAGAACAGUGGGCCCAGGAACUUGUCCACAUGGCCUUUGAAUAUCACCUUUUUGGCCAUGUGGAUGCACUGAUGUCUCACGUUCAACUCGAUGGUCACCAGGAUCCAUGGGAGCAUCCUACCAGGAUUCAUAGACUUGUCAUCCUGUGCUAACAGCAAUGCUUCCUUGUAUCUGAAGGUGAGCAGUGUUGAAAUGUACUCUGUGGAAGACAAA